rnacentral:tRNA from 1 species
CAGAAUAUAGCUUAAAUAAAGCAUUUUGCUUACACCAAAAAAAUAUCUAUAUAUAGAUUAUUCUG